AUGCUCACUUUGGCAGCACUUACACUGAAAUUGAAUCAAUACAGAGAAGAUUAGCAUGGCCCGUGUGCAAGGAUGACGUGAAUUUGUGAUAUGUCCCAUAUUUUU
ensembl:snRNA U6 U6 spliceosomal RNA